GCUAGCUCAAAUUCAUUGUUUAUUAUUAUUAUUAUUAUUAUUAUUAUUAUUAUUAUUAUUAUCCUUCAAACAAUAAUCUUUAGGUAGAUCCUUAUGGAAGCUUCUCUAGUUCACACAUAUCCUGACACCUCUAUGAUUGAUCCCUUCAACGGGACAUUAUUCAAGUGAUGACAUGAAAGGGUUUUAUUGACAAUUGAUGUAGUGAACUUGGG
rnacentral:lncRNA from 1 species